rnacentral:tmRNA from 1 species
UAUGUAAACGGAGAUAAGAUAAAAUAGAAAUGCAUGUGGGGGUCCCCUUUUUUUUUUAUUCUAAGAAGAGGCCGGCAUAGGAGUUGAUUGGCAGUCUCGUGGGCUGGGAGAUGUGUAUAAGAGACAGAAUCUGAAUAUUCAAACUUUAAUUGGCGAAUCUAACUACGCCAUGGCUGCCUAAUCAGAGAUUAGACACCCAUUAUAGCCGCCCGGAGUUGUCGCCUUAUGCGACUCCCGCCGCUGAAUCAUCAAACCCAUAGGGAUAGGUGCUCAUGGUUUCUGUGAGUGAGCACUGAAGCGCAAACGGAUAAGGACGAGGUUGGUUCGUUAUGCCCCUGCUGAGUUCCGACAAACCAAUGCAUAAAUAAGCAUGUAGAAAGCUUUCGGCGAUUAUGUUUGGACACGGGUUCGAUUCCCGUCACCUCCACUG